AUUGAACGCUGGCGGCAGGCCUAACACAUGCAAGUCGAGCGGAUGAAGGGAGCUUGCUCCUGGAUUCAGCGGCGGACGGGUGAGUAAUGCCUAGGAAUCUGCCUGGUAGUGGGUGAUAACGUCCUGAAACGGGCGCUAAUACCGCAUGCGUCCUGAGGGAGCAAGUGGGGGGUCUUCGGACCUCACGCUAUCAGAUGAGCCUAGGUCGGAUUAGCUAGUUGGUGGGGUAAAGGCCUACCAAGGCGACGAUCCGUAACUGGUCUGUGAGGAUGAUCAGUCACACUGGAACUGAGACACGGUCCAGACUACUACGGGAGGCAGCAGUGGGGAAUAUUGGACAAUGGGCGAAAGCCUGAUACAGCCAGGCCGCGUGUGUGAAGAAGGUCUUCGGAUUGUAAAGCACUUUAAGGUGGGAGGAAGGGCAGUAAGUUAAUACCUUGCUGUUUUGACGUUAACAACAGAAUAAGCACCGGCUAACUUCGUG
rnacentral:rRNA from 1 species